rnacentral:pre_miRNA from 1 species
UUUUUGGGAUAAGUAUGUAUCAUGCAAUAUUGAUACAUACUUAUCCCAAAA